rnacentral:rRNA from 1 species
AAUGAACGCUGGCGGCGCGCCUAAUACAUGCAAGUCGAGCGAGAAGACGUAGCAAUACGUUUGUAAAGCGGCGAACGGGUGAGGAAUACAUGGGUAACCUACCCUCGAGUGGGGAAUAACUAGCCGAAAGGUUAGCUAAUACCGCGUACGCUUCUUGGACUUCGGUUCAGGGAGGAAAGCGAUGCCGAGGGUAUCGCGCUCUUGGAUGGGCUCAUGUCCUAUCAGCUUGUUGGNGAGGUACGGCUCACC